UACGAAGGGGGCUAGCGUUGCUCGGAUUUACUGGGCGUAAAGGGCGCGUAGGCGGAUUUCUAAGUCGGGGGUGAAAGCCCAGGGCUCAACCCUGGAAUUGCCUUCGAUACUGGAGAUCUUGAGUCCGGGAGAGGUGAGUGGAACUGCGAGUGUAGAGGUGAAAUUCGUAGAUAUUCGCAAGAACACCAGUGGCGAAGGCGGCUCACUGGCCCGGAACUGACGCUGAGACGCGAAAGCGUGGGGAGCAAACAGG
rnacentral:rRNA from 1 species